GGUUAAGCGACUAAGCGUACACGGUGGAUGCCCUGGCAGUCAGAGGCGAUGAAGGGCGUGCUAAUCUGCGAUAAGCGCCGGUAAGGUGAUAUGAACCGUUAUAACCGGCGAUACCCGAAUGGGGAAACCCAGUGUGACUCGUCACACUAUCAUUAACUGAAUCCAUAGGUUAAUGAGGCGAACCGGGGGAACUGAAACAUCUAAGUACCCCGAGGAAAAGAAAUCAACCGAGAUUCCCCCAGUAGCGGCGAGCGAACGGGGAGGAGCCCAGAGCCUGAAUCAGCAUGUGUGUUAGUGGAAGCGUCUGGAAAGGCGCGCGAUACAGGGUGACAGCCCCGUACACAAAAGCGCAUGUGCUGUGAGCUCGAUGAGUAGGGCGGGACACGUGGUAUCCUGUCUGAAUAUGGGGGGACCAUCCUCCAAGGCUAAAUACUCCUGACUGACCGAUAGUGAACCAGUACCGUGAGGGAAAGGCGAAAAGAACCCCGGCGAGGGGAGUGAAAAAGAACCUGAAACCGUGUACGUACAAGCAGUGGGAGCACCUUCGGGUGUGACUGCGUACCUUUUGUAUAAUGGGUCAGCGACUUAUAUUCUGUAGCAAGGUUAACCGUAUAGGGGAGCCGGAGGGAAACCGAGUCUUAACCGGGCGUUAAGUUGCAGGGUAUAGACCCGAAACCCGGUGAUCUAGCCAUGGGCAGGUUGAAGGUUGGGUAACACUAACUGGAGGACCGAACCGACUAAUGUUGAAAAAUUAGCGGAUGACCUGUGGCUGGGGGUGAAAGGCCAAUCAAACCGGGAGAUAGCUGGUUCUCCCCGAAAGCUAUUUAGGUAGCGCCUCGUGAAUUCAUCUCCGGGGGUAGAGCACUGUUUCGGCUAGGGGGCCAUCCCGGCUUACCAACCCGAUGCAAACUGCGAAUACCGGAGAAUGUUAUCACGGGAGACACACGGCGGGUGCUAACGUCCGUCGUGAAGAGGGAAACAACCCAGACCGCCAGCUAAGGUCCCAAAGUCAUGGUUAAGUGGGAAACGAUGUGGGAAGGCCCAGACAGCCAGGAUGUUGGCUUAGAAGCAGCCAUCAUUUAAAGAAAGCGUAAUAGCUCACUGGUCGAGUCGGCCUGCGCGGAAGAUGUAACGGGGCUAAACCAUGCACCGAAGCUGCGGCAGCGAACGUAUCACUUAAAGCGAUUCAGCGGGUUACGAUUGACGGAGCGAAGCGACGUCAAAGCGUAUACAAAGUCGAGUCGGUUUAAGGAUACGUUCGUUGGGUAGGGGAGCGUUCUGUAAGCCUGUGAAGGUGGCCUGUGAGGGUUGCUGGAGGUAUCAGAAGUGCGAAUGCUGACAUAAGUAACGAUAAAGCGGGUGAAAAGCCCGCUCGCCGGAAGACCAAGGGUUCCUGUCCAACGUUAAUCGGGGCAGGGUGAGUCGACCCCUAAGGCGAGGCCGAAAGGCGUAGUCGAUGGGAAACGGGUUAAUAUUCCCGUACUUGGUGUUACUGCGAAGGGGGGACGGAGAAGGCUAUGUUGGCCGGGCGACGGUUGUCCCGGUUUAAGCGUGUAGGUGUGUGUUCCAGGUAAAUCCGGUUCACUUUAACACUGAGGCGUGAUGACGAGGCACUACGGUGCUGAAGCAACAAAUGCCCUGCUUCCAGGAAAAGCCUCUAAGCAUCAGGUAACAUCAAAUCGUACCCCAAACCGACACAGGUGGUCAGGUAGAGAAUACCAAGGCGCUUGAGAGAACUCGGGUGAAGGAACUAGGCAAAAUGGUGCCGUAACUUCGGGAGAAGGCACGCUGACACGUAGGUGAAGUGAUUUACUCAUGGAGCUGAAGUCAGUCGAAGAUACCAGCUGGCUGCAACUGUUUAUUAAAAACACAGCACUGUGCAAACACGAAAGUGGACGUAUACGGUGUGACGCCUGCCCGGUGCCGGAAGGUUAAUUGAUGGGGUCAGCGCAAGCGAAGCUCCUGAUCGAAGCCCCGGUAAACGGCGGCCGUAACUAUAACGGUCCUAAGGUAGCGAAAUUCCUUGUCGGGUAAGUUCCGACCUGCACGAAUGGCGUAAUGAUGGCCAGGCUGUCUCCACCCGAGACUCAGUGAAAUUGAACUCGCUGUGAAGAUGCAGUGUACCCGCGGCAAGACGGAAAGACCCCGUGAACCUUUACUAUAGCUUGACACUGAACAUUGAGCCUUGAUGUGUAGGAUAGGUGGGAGGCUUUGAAGUGUGGACGCCAGUCUGCAUGGAGCCGACCUUGAAAUACCACCCUUUAAUGUUUGAUGUUCUAACGUGGACCCGUAAUCCGGGUUGCGGACAGUGUCUGGUGGGUAGUUUGACUGGGGCGGUCUCCUCCUAAAGAGUAACGGAGGAGCACGAAGGUUGGCUAAUCCUGGUCGGACAUCAGGAGGUUAGUGCAAUGGCAUAAGCCAGCUUGACUGCGAGCGUGACGGCGCGAGCAGGUGCGAAAGCAGGUCAUAGUGAUCCGGUGGUUCUGAAUGGAAGGGCCAUCGCUCAACGGAUAAAAGGUACUCCGGGGAUAACAGGCUGAUACCGCCCAAGAGUUCAUAUCGACGGCGGUGUUUGGCACCUCGAUGUCGGCUCAUCACAUCCUGGGGCUGAAGUAGGUCCCAAGGGUAUGGCUGUUCGCCAUUUAAAGUGGUACGCGAGCUGGGUUUAGAACGUCGUGAGACAGUUCGGUCCCUAUCUGCCGUGGGCGCUGGAGAACUGAGGGGGGCUGCUCCUAGUACGAGAGGACCGGAGUGGACGCAUCACUGGUGUUCGGGUUGUCAUGCCAAUGGCACUGCCCGGUAGCUAAAUGCGGAAGAGAUAAGUGCUGAAAGCAUCUAAGCACGAAACUUGCCCCGAGAUGAGUUCUCCCUGAGACUUAGAGUCUCCUGAAGGAACGUUGAAGACGACGACGUUGAUAGGCCGGGUGUGUAAGCGCAGCGAUGCGUUGAGCUAACCGGUACUAAUGAACCGUGAGGCUUAACCUU
rnacentral:rRNA from 1 species